GGGGAACAGUCUCUAUUCUGCUCUGUGUCAGUGUGUAUCAUGAUCUCUGAAGACAGGUGUCAAUCCAUAUCUGCCAAGUGACCCUAUGUAGGGGGAACAGUCUAUAUUCUGCUCUGUGUCAGUGUGUAUCAUGAUCUCUGAGGACAGGUGUCAAUCCAUAUUUGCCAAGUGACCCUAUGUAGGAGGAACAGUCUCUAUUCUGCUCAGUGUCAGUGCGUAUCAGGGGCUCUGAGGACAGGUGUCAAUCCAUAUCUGCCAAGUGACCCUAUGUAGGGGGAACAGUCUCUAUUCUGCUCUGUGUCAGUGUGUAUCAGGGGCUCUGAGGACAGGUGUCAAUUCAUAUCUGCCAAGUGACCCUAUGUAGGGGAAACAGUCUCUAUUCUGCUCUGUGUCAGUGUGUAUCAGGGGCUCUGAGGACAGGUGUCAAUCCAUAUCUGCUAAGUGACCCUAUGUAGGAGGAACAGUCUCUAUUCUGCUCUGUGUCAGUGUGUAUCAGGGGCUCUGAGGACAGGUGUCAAUCCAUAUCUGCCAAGUGACCCCAUGUAGGAGGAACAGUCUCUAUUCUGCUCUGUGUCAGUGUGUAUCAGGGGCUCUGAGGACAGGUGUCAAUCCAUAUCUGCCAAGUGACCCUAUGUAGGAGGAACAGUCUCUAUUCUGCUCUGUGUCAGUGUGUAUCAGGGGCUCUGAGGACAGGUGUCAAUCCAUAUCUGCCAAGUGACCCUAUGUAGGGGAACAGUCUCUAUUUUGCUCUGUGUCAGUGUGUAUCAUGAUCUCUGAA